rnacentral:rRNA from 1 species
UGCCAGCAGCCGCGGUAAUUCCAGCUCCAAUAAGGAAAACUAAAGUUGCUGUGUUUAAAAAGCUCGUAGUUGAAUUUCGGGUAUUUGUUAUUAGCUGGUCUAACUGGCCAUGUUAAUUAACAGAUCCUCAUUUGCUGGAUAAUUGUUGAUGAUCUUUAUCGGUUGUCAUCAAUUGCCGCCUAUAUAUAUUGCAUGGAAUAAUGAAAUAAGAUCUCGAUUUUAUUUCGUUGGUUUUAGAAAUUGAGAUAAUGAUUAAUAGGAUCAGAGGGGGGCGUACGUACUGUGGUGUGAGAGGUGAAAUUCUUGGAUCGCCACAGGACGAACAGCAGCGAAGGCGUUCGCCAAGAAUGUUUUCAUUAAUCAAGAACGAAAGUUUGAGGUUCGAAGACGAUUAGAUACCGUCCUAGUUCAAACCAUAAACGUUGCCAACUGUCUUUUAGAUGCGGUUAUUUAUAUGACUCAUCUGGCGGAUCUCGAGAAAUCUAAGUUUUUAGGUUCCGGGGGAAGUAUGGUUGCAAAGCUGAAACUUAAAAGAAUUGACGGAAGGACACACAAGAAGUGGAGCCUGUGGCCUAAUUUGACCCAACACGGGAAACCUUACUCGGCCAGGACACUUUUAGGAUUGACAGAUUGAGAGCUCUUUCUUGAUUAGGUGGGUGGUGGUGCAUGGUCGUUCGUAGUUCGUGGAGCGAUUUGUCUGAUUAAUUUCGAUAACGAACGAGACUCCGGCUUACUAAAUAGUCUAAAGUUCGAAGGGACUUUUCAAGACUUCUUAGCAGGAUAAGUGGCACUUUUUAAGCCACACGAAAUGGAGCAAUAACAGGUCUGUGAUGCCCUUAGAUGUCCGAGGCUGCACGCGCGCUACACUGGAGAGUUCAGAAUGUUUCUUCCUACUUCGACAGAAGUGGGUAACCAUGAAAUUCUCUUCGUGACUGGGAUCGGAGCUUGCAAUUAUUCUCCGUCAACGAGGAAUUCCUAGUAAGCACUAUUUCAUCAGAAUGUGCUGAUUAUGUCCCUGUCCUUUGUACACACCGCCCGUCGCUACUACCGAUUGAAUGUUUUAGUGAGAUCUUCGGCU